rnacentral:rRNA from 1 species
GAUGAACGCUGGCGGCGUGCCUAACACAUGCAAGUCGAGCGAACGGACGAGAAGCUUGCUUCUCUGAUGUUAGCGGCGGACGGGUGAGUAACACGUGGAUAACCUACCUAUAAGACUGGGAUAACUUCGGGAAACCGGAGCUAAUACCGGAUAAUAUUUUGAACCGCACGGUUCAAAAGUGAAAGACGGUCUUGCUGUCACUUAUAGAUGGAUCCGCCCUGCAUUAGCUAGUUGGUAAGGUAACGGCUUACCAAGGCAACGAUGCAUAGCCGACCUGAGAGGAUGAUCGGCCACACUGGAACUGAGACACGGUCCAGACUCCUACGGGAGGCAGCAGUAGGGAAUCUUGCGCAAUGGGCGAAAGCCUGACGGAGCAACGCCGCGGGAGGGAUGAAGGACUUCGGAUCGUAGAACACUGUUAUUAGGGAAGAACAUAUGUGUAAGUAACUGUGCACAUCUUGACGGUACCUAAUCAAAAAGCCACGGCUAACUACGUG